AAAGGGUUUCAUAUCUAAGGGUUGUGAUAGGCNGGUAUGAAACCCAUUUGAGCGAGAGUAGUACUAGGAUGGGUGACCUCCUAGGAAGUCCUCGUGAAAGGGUUUC
rnacentral:rRNA from 1 species